CGCUUGAUAGCACAGUGGUUAUUGCGUCUGUAAUUUCUGACCGCGCAGGAUGAUUUUUCUGCAGAAGAUCCCCGUUCGAUUCGGGGUCGGGUGA